AGUGAACGCUGGCGGUAGGCCUAACACAUGCAAGUCGAACGGCAGCACAGUAAGAGCUUGCUCUUACGGGUGGCGAGUGGCGGACGGGUGAGGAAUACAUCGGAAUCUACUUUUUCGUGGGGGAUAACGUAGGGAAACUUACGCUAAUACCGCAUACGACCUACGGGUGAAAGCAGGGGAUCUUCGGACCUUGCGCGAUUGAAUGAGCCGAUGUCGGAUUAGCUAGUUGGCGGGGUAAAGGCCCACCAAGGCGACGAUCCGUAGCUGGUCUGAGAGGAUGAUCAGCCACACUGGAACUGGGACACGGUCCAGACUCCUACGGGAGGCAGCAGUGGGGAAUAUUGGACAAUGGGCGCAAGCCUGAUCCAGCCAUACCGCGUGGGUGAAGAAGGCCUUCGGGUUGUAAAGCCCUUUUGUUGGGAAAGAAAAGCAGCAGGUUAAUACCCCGCUGUGCUGACGGUACCCAAAGAAUAAGCACCGGCUAACUUCGUG
rnacentral:rRNA from 1 species